AAGUCGUAACAAGGUUUCCGUAGGUGAACCUGCGGAAGGAUCAUUACAGUGUUAAGGCUUCGGCCUCAUUCACACCCCUUGUUGAACCUCUGGUUUCUUUGGCGAUGUCAUGGACUCGUCAGACUUUAACUCUGAUAAUGCGAUACUGUCCGAGUGAGAUUGAAUUAUCAAAACUUUCAGCAACGGAUCUCUUGGCUCUCGCAUCGAUGAAGAACGCAGCGAAAUGCGAUAAGUAAUGUGAAUUGCAGAAUUCAGUGAAUCAUCGAAUCUUUGAACGCACCUUGCGCCCCUCGGCCAUUCCUUGGGGCAUGCCUGUUUGAGUAUCAUGAACACCUCAACUCUCACGGUUCGCCGUGAAGAGCUUGGAUCUGGGGGUUUGCUGGCCAUGCGGCCUGCUCCCCUCAAAUGAAUCAGCUUGCCAGUGUCUGGUGGCGUCAUGGGUGUGAUAACCAUCUACGCUCACGUCCGUCUGCCGGGUAACCUUCAUCACUGGAGGUUCGCUGGAGCUUACAAACGCCUCUCCUUGGUGGAGACACCUUUUGAACGUUCGAUCUCAAAUCAGGUAGGACUACCCGCUGAACUUAA
rnacentral:rRNA from 1 species